UUUAAGAUCGGUUCUUUUGUAACCGAUUUUAAAAGUUGUGUGAGACAUACCUUUUAAGAUCGGUCAUAAAAUAACCGAUCUUAAA
rnacentral:miRNA from 1 species